rnacentral:tRNA from 3 species
GGAACUGUGCCCGAAUGCUUAAGGGCCACUUUGAUAGAGUGGUUAAUGGAGGUUCAAGUCCCCCCAGUUCCU